AAAUAGAUUCAAAUAAACUAUCAAUAAUAUAUAAAAAAAUUAUCAUAAUUAUUAUUUGAGAAAGGUAACAACAUAAAAAUGAUAACUUAAUGUAAUUUAUUUUUCUUUGCACAGCAAACUCUGAGCCAUAUAGCUAAAUGUUUUAUUGAUGUUGAUUGAUCUGAAAAAUGGGCUGUGAUGACGAUUUGCGUUUUUUUGCGCUAUAAUCUGACUGCACUGCUUGAAGAAAUUGCACGAAUUGUCCUUCAAAAGGCUGGUCUUUAAUUUUUUUUGCACGGAUUGCCCUUGAAAUGCACUGUUCUUUUAUUUUUGGCCCUUCAAAUUAACACUGCUUUGAGAAAAUCCGACCCGCAAUCGGAGUCAAAAGAAGAUUUUUCAGGGUGCCGGUAUGCCUUUGAUUUCUUUUAUGCUUCUGCAUACUACUACAGCUGAUUUUCACAAAUAACUACUUUUAUGUCCCUGUAAAUACAAGGUAGAAAUGAGACACAACAAGUAACUCAUGUGCUCAAUUUUUCUGAUGAUUGAAUUGCCAUUCCGAAGAGUUCACUAGCACAUAUAACCCUGCGAGGCAACCUUAUGUGGCGCAGCAAUUAUUUCAAAAAGUUGCACAGACAAUCACGCCCGAGCCAAUUCAGAAUGUGAAAGCUGCGCUUGCAAGCAGCGAGAUUGAGCAAAAAACUGAGGCAAAAAAGAAAGCUGUGCCUCGAAAGGCAGCAGGACAGACUUGGGAAGAUCCUACUCUUGCAGACUGGCCAGCGAGUAAGUCGCUUGCUCCAUUUAAUUCUUUCUUCCAAUUUGGUUUGGCGUCAAAUGUUUGAAUUCAGUUUUUACCCAUUAAAAAAAGUUGAGUUUGUUUAGUUUAUUCUCUUGGUGCUCUUAGGUUGUUCCGAUUCGGUCUUCUCGCAGUCCUUGAUAGUUUGGAACAUGAAUUGAACUAAGUAAUACCUUGUUAUGAAGAGUACUGGCAGUGCUUAUAAGAAUGUCAAAGCUGUGAUGGUCUGGAUAACCGCAUAAGCUGUAAACUGAAGCAAUCACCGGCUAUGCCAUGCAGGGUUUGGAAUUAAGGAAAUAAUUAUUAAAGGUGAAUAAAUCACCUGUGCAAUCACUUAAAGAGAUAAAAAUUAGUCUAAUUGCAUAUUAUGAUCCAACUUUCUGUGAAAUCUAGAUAUAUUUUGAGGUUAUCAGCAACAGAAUUUAGAUUAAAGGGAGCAUGAUCAAUAGUGAUAGUUUAGGCAACUUGAAAGAAUUGAGGAUUGAAAAAUAUUUUACCACAUAUAGCAGUUGUUAAAAAAGUGGGCAGGGCAAUGAUCACGGGUGCUCUUAAAACCAAGUAGGUGAGGUCUUGGUUCUCCUCCGUAACAAUAGACUUCCUUGUGAGUAUUGCUCCCUUCUUCCUGUUUUUCCUUUACAAUAGCUCAGAAUUUCAGGUUAUUGAUUGAUUACUUUUGGGUUUGAUCUAAUUCUUCUGAUCCAAAGUUCCUUUUGUUACUGUUGAAUAAUCUGAUUCUAAAACCCUGUUGACAUUCUUUUACAUAUCUAAAAGAAUUUCUUUAUUUCGUAUUUCUUUGUGAUGAAUUUCUGAUAAACAAAUAUCAAUUGAUUUUCUCCAAACCAGAAUUCAGUAUAGCACAAACAGUCAAUGGAUCUUAUCUUUUUGGUUUCUCAAUUACAUGUCUAUAAUUUACAUCUUUUCAGCUGAAAUUUUGAUCGCUCUCCAACUUUUUGGAUGCGGCUAUCUAAUGUGAUGCUUUUCUUGCUUUUUUGUUUCAUCUUCUUUAUUUCAGUUUUAGUUGUGCGAUGUGGUAGUUUUCUGUUCCUGCAUCUGUUUUUUCAUCGUGUCGGACUCGGGUAAGUGCUGCUCUUCCAUUUGCUUCCCUAUCUUUAUUGUUUCUAAGUUCUUCUCUUAUCUUUGACAGUCCACGGCAUUUCACUUAGGUCAAUACUUUGUGCAGCUUUUAUCUUGCACUCGAGUUGACACUGCAUUGUCCAAAUAGCAGUAGCAGAUAGAGUGAUGUGUGAGAUUCACAUACUACAUGUGAUAAUCUUUUGGAUAUGUUGUAAAGGUUUUGUUCCUCAAUGAAUGUACAUGGUAUGAAACAGUUGGUGUGUUGUGGCCAUUUAUUCAGCUUGAAUAUGUCGCUCACUUUUUCAUUAGUACUGCCGAACGCUUGAAACCAUUAAGGUUGGAGGAGCACAGAUCUAUAUUUGUAUUUAUCUAAUUUGCAGCCAAAUGCAAAACAAAAGAAAAGGGGAAAAAAGAUGUUAGCUUGGCUGAUGAA